AAGGGAAUAUUGGUAAUGUGCGAAAGCGCGAACCAGCAACGCCGCGUGCACGAUGAAGGCCUUCGGGUCGUAAAGUGCUUUUAGAGAGGAUGAGGAAGGACAGUACUUUCUGAAUAAGCCUCGGCUAACUACGUGCCAGCAGCCGCGGUAAAACGUAGGAGGCUAGCGUUAUCCGGAUUUACUGGGCGUAAAGCGCAUGCAGGUGGUUUUGUAAGUUGGAUGUGAAAGCUCCUGGCUUAACUGGGAGAGGUCGUUCAAAACUACAAGACUUGAGAUUGGUAGAGGAAAAUGGAAUUCCGGGUGUAGUGGUGAAAUGCGUAGAUAUCCGGAGGAACACCAGUGGCGAAAGCGGUUUUCUGGACCAAUUCUGACACUCAGAUGCGAAAGCUAAGGUAGCAAACG
rnacentral:rRNA from 1 species